AAAGGGGAGACUCAUCCGAACCCACCAAUUACAAGAGGAGGUGCCGUGCAGGGGCGGGUCCUUGCCCCACAUCCUGCCAUUUGGUGGGCGCUAUGUGAGGGCAUGGUCUGCAUAGACCAAACAGGGCGCUAACCAGGCUGUGUGUUGAUGGAAAGCAUAGUGUCUGCUGGGGCAGUGUCUGCAGUAAUAAUUCAUUGUAUGCAUUUACUGAGCUGAGGAAGGCAUGUUCCAGUUCUGUAUCUCUGUGCCUUCAUGUGCUGUAAUUUAAGCAGUAAAAUGCUCCUGACAAGAAUCCUACACUUAGGCAGAUAACGGGCCAUUUUGCUCUUUGUUUCCAUGUAGCAGAAGAGAAGAGGGGGAGCGGCAGGUACAAAUCCUCAAACAUCAAUUUCGAUCAACCCAAAAUGUUUUCCCUUGGAUUACAUCAUCCCCUGAAAGUGCUCGUGAACUCAAGCUAUAUGUGUUUUAAAAGCCGAACGUGAGAGCAGCUGCAAACACGGAUGGCAGCUGGUUGAGCUGCCAAGAACAAA